GAAAAAGAAGAGUGGCGAACGGGUGAGUAACACGUGGGUAACCUGCCCAUCAGAAGGGGAUAACACUUGGAAACAGGUGCUAAUACCGUAUAACAAUCAAAACCGCAUGGUUUUGAUUUGAAAGGCGCUUUCGGGUGUCGCUGAUGGAUGGACCCGCGGUGCAUUAGCUAGUUGGUGAGGUAACGGCUCACCAAGGCCACGAUGCAUAGCCGACCUGAGAGGGUGAUCGGCCACAUUGGGACUGAGACACGGCCCAAACUCCUACGGGAGGCAGCAGUAGGGAAUCUUCGGCAAUGGACGAAAGUCUGACCGAGCAACGCCGCGUGAGUGAAGAAGGUUUUCGGAUCGUAAAACUCUGUUGUUAGAGAAGAACAAGGAUGAGAGUAACUGUUCAUCCCUUGACGGUAUCUAACCAGAAAGCCACGGCUAACUACGUGCCAGCAGCCGCGGUAAUACGUAGGUGGCAAGCGUUGUCCGGAUUUAUUGGGCGUAAAGCGAGCGCAGGCGGUUUCUUAAGUCUGAUGUGAAAGCCCCCGGCUCA
rnacentral:rRNA from 1 species